rnacentral:lncRNA from 1 species
CCAAGUCAAUUAAAAGCUUCGACAUUAAGCAAUCUCUCAAUUGAAAGGUCUUUUCAUUUGCAUACGUUUUUCAUGGCUUUCAACAUCUUUACAACUUGUCUACAGAAGAUAUUUUUUAAGAUAACUCUAAUAUUUACAUUCCCGAUAAAUUUAUUUUAUCUUUUUUUUACUAGAUCUCUGGAACCUCGAAGAAUUUCGACAAAAAAAGAAAGGAUUCGACAAACAAUCUUUCAGAUUCUGAUGAUUCGUAUAGCAGUACUACCACCAGUAACGGCAGGCUCAAGAAGAAUAGUGACAUGAUUAAUAACAAUAGUUUCACGCCAUCAACACCGCCUCUAUCGGCCGUAAAUGGCCGAAUUGUAAAACGAAGGAAGGGAAUUCCGCAUCGUGCUCCUUUUGGAGGACUAAUCAUAGAAUACUAAUAAGAUGGUAAUGUAUAGUCUAAAUGCUAAUAACAAUCACCAGUGGUUUGUGGGGUAUGUGUGUGUGUGUGUAUACGUAGUGUGGUGUAGAGGAAUGUAUAAAGAAAAGCUUAACAUGAUAUUGUGAAAUAGUAGAUAUGAAAGGGUAAAAAAGUGGGAAAGAUAACAGGAUGAAGCAUGAAUAUGUACGGGAAAUACGUUUGCCUGUACAUUUUGGGUUGAAAGGUUAAUAUGUAAAUAAUACUGUGUGUGGAUCAAAAUAAUAGGUAAUAAAAGUAUGUGAUACAAUGCAAAUGUGAAUGAAAUAAAGGCAUUUUUAACUCUCGAGAAAGUGAACAAAAUACAGUGAAAAUGGGUGAAAACACACAUUCAAAAGAGAUAAAAAUUGUAUUCAAACUGAAAUUUGAAAUAAUUUGUAUUUAUAAUUCAAAAAUGAUUAUAUAAUUUAAAAAUUAAUAUUAUUGAAAGAAAAAAUUAUUUAGUGAUUUAAAAAUAUAUAUUAUUAUUUUCUCAUGAAAAAUGGGGGAAACAAAAGAGUUGACUACUUUGAGCUUAAAAAGUAUAAUCUCAAACAUCGACUAUUCACCGAAUAGGUAAGCUAACUCCUUUUUUUUUUAACAUCAAGCUAACUACUAUUUAUAAUUGAUAAAAAAAUAGCCGGGAAGGUCUUAGUCUAGUGGCUAGGAGAGUAUCUUAAGCACCUUGGCAUUAGGUGUUCGCCCCUCCAGGCUUCCUAAGUGAAGCUUUCCUUCUAAAGGGUUAGCACCAUUAAUGGGAGCGUCUAAAGGGUUGUUUAGGGGUGGGUCUCACCGGUAAGAGAGGAAGAAACGUUGCCAAAAACGCUAAAUUAAUCAUCUGUUCUGUUUCGUGGGUCCUGUGAUGGUGUGCUAUUGGUUCAAAUGGGUUUAUGGGUUAAAAAUGCUUUUAAAGGACUAUCGGCUCGUGUCGACAAAAAAUAAUUGAUAAAAAAUAAACGUCUUUAAUUCUUUAAUCACUGUUUGAUGGGAAUUGAGAAAAAAGAUUUUAUUAUUGGGUUGGCGAGAAAAUGGGGUGGGGGGUGGGGGGUGGGGAUGGCAAUCAUAGCAACUCCAAGAAAUUGUGAAGUUUGAAAAAAUUAGAUAAAAGCACUUGGGUUGAAUAUUCCAAGUCAAUUAAAAGCUUCGACAUUAAGCAAUCUCUCAAUUGAAAGGUCUUUUCAUUUGCAUACGUUUUUCAUGGCUUUCAACAUCUUUACAACUUGUCUACAGAAGAUAUUUUUUAAGAUAACUCUAAUAUUUACAUUCCCGAUAAAUUUAUUUUAUCUUUUUUUUACUAGAUCUCUGGAACCUCGAAGAAUUUCGACAAAAAAAGAAAGGAUUCGACAAACAAUCUUUCAGAUUCUGAUGAUUCGUAUAGCAGUACUACCACCAGUAACGGCAGGCUCAAGAAGAAUAGUGACAUGAUUAAUAACAAUAGUUUCACGCCAUCAACACCGCCUCUAUCGGCCGUAAAUGGCCGAAUUGUAAAACGAAGGAAGGGAAUUCCGCAUCGUGCUCCUUUUGGAGGACUAAUCAUAGAAUACUAAUAAGAUGGUAAUGUAUAGUCUAAAUGCUAAUAACAAUCACCAGUGGUUUGUGGGGUAUGUGUGUGUGUGUGUAUACGUAGUGUGGUGUAGAGGAAUGUAUAAAGAAAAGCUUAACAUGAUAUUGUGAAAUAGUAGAUAUGAAAGGGUAAAAAAGUGGGAAAGAUAACAGGAUGAAGCAUGAAUAUGUACGGGAAAUACGUUUGCCUGUACAUUUUGGGUUGAAAGGUUAAUAUGUAAAUAAUACUGUGUGUGGAUCAAAAUAAUAGGUAAUAAAAGUAUGUGAUACAAUGCAAAUGUGAAUGAAAUAAAGGCAUUUUUAAC